rnacentral:rRNA from 1 species
UUGAAAGGGAAACGAUUGAAGUCAGUCGUACCGGCGGGAAAUCAACCUUUCGAGUGGGGUUUUGGAGUUUUGAGGAGUGUCAAAACCUUUGAGAUUUCAAAAUUUUCGCUCCUUUGGUGUACUUUCUCGUAGGUAGGUUAACAUCGAUUUUGAUCAUCAUAAAAGGACUGGAGGAAUGUAGCUUCGAUCUCGUAUUGAAGUGUUAUAGCCUUUGGUAAAUGUGAUGAUUAGGAUCGAGGAUUGCAACGAAUACCCUUCUGGGCUAUCCGUCUGAUCUCUGAUACGUGGCCAUGGUAUCGAAAGCUUGCUUAUGGUAUUGAGGUAUUACGGUCAAAAGGUUAGAACGGAUUACAUUCGUUAAGGAUGUUGACGUA